GAAUGGUAACAGGAAACAGCUUGCUGUUUCGCUGACGAGUGGCGGACGGGUGAGUAAUGUCUGGGAAACUGCCUGAUGGAGGGGGAUAACUACUGGAAACGGUAGCUAAUACCGCAUAACGUCGCAAGACCAAAGAGGGGGACCUUCGGGCCUCUUGCCAUCAGAUGUGCCCAGAUGGGAUUAGCUAGUAGGUGGGGUAACGGCUCACCUAGGCGACGAUCCCUAGCUGGUCUGAGAGGAUGACCAGCCACACUGGAACUGAGACACGGUCCAGACUCCUACGGGAGGCAGCAGUGGGGAAUAUUGCACAAUGGGCGCAAGCCUGAUGCAGCCAUGCCGCGUGUAUGAAGAAGGCCUUCGGGUUGUAAAGUACUUUCAGCGGGGAGGAAGGGAGUAAAGUUAAUACCUUUGCUCAUUGACGUUACCCGCAGAAGAAGCACCGUGCUAACUCCGUG
rnacentral:rRNA from 1 species